rnacentral:rRNA from 1 species
CCCUUAGAUGUUCUGGGCCGCACGCGUGCUACACUGAGUAAAUCAAUGGGUAAGGGAACACGAAAGUGCAACCUAAUCUUGAAAUUUGCUCGUGAUGGGGAUCGACGGUUGCAAUUUUCCGUCGUGAACGAGGAAUACCUUGUAGGCGCGUGUCAUCAUCACGCGCCGAAUGCGUCCCUGCCCUUUGUACACACCGCCCGUCGCUCCUACCGAUUGAGUGGUCCGGUGAGGCUUUGGGAUCUGAGCGGAAAGAGCGUUUCGCUGUUUCUGCUCGGAAAACUCAGUCGAACCUUAUCAUUUAGAGGAAGGAGAAGUCGUAACA